rnacentral:rRNA from 1 species
GACGAACCUUGCUAACGUUAUUCGGAAUUACUGGGCUUAAAGGGUGCGUAGGCGGUGCGGAAAAGUCGGGUGUGAAAGCCCCCAGCUCAACUGGGGAAUUGCGCCUGAAACUACCGUGCUCGAGGAAGACAGAGGUACGCGGAACUUAGGGUGGAGCGGUGAAAUACGUUGAUAUCCUAAGGAACACCGGUGGCGAAAGCGGCGAUACUGGGUCUUAGUCUGACGCUGAGGCACGAAAAGCUAGGGUAGCGAACGGG